UACCCUGGUAGUCCACGCUGUAAACGAUGUCGAUUUGGAGGUUGUGCCCUUGAGGCGUGGCUUCCGGAGCUAACGCGUUAAAUCGACCGCCUGGGGAGUACGGCCGCAAGGUUAAAACUCAAAUGAAUUGACGGGGGCCCGCACAAGCGGUGGAGCAUGUGGUUUAAUUCGAUGCAACGCGAAGAACCUUACCUACUCUUGACAUCCAGAGAAUUCGCUAGAGAUAGCUUAGUGCCUUCGGGAACUCUGAGACAGGUGCUGCAUGGCUGUCGUCAGCUCGUGUUGUGAAAUGUUGGGUUAAGUCCCGCAACGAGCGCAACCCUUAUCCUUUGUUGCCAGCGAUUCGGUCGGGAACUCAAAGGAGACUGCCGGUGAUAAACCGGAGGAAGGUGGGGAUGACGUCAAGUCAUCAUGGCCCUUACGAGUAGGGCUACACACGUGCUACAAUGGCGUAUACAAAGAGAAGCGAACUCGCGAGAGCAAGCGGACCUCAUAAAGUACGUCGUAGUCCGGAUUGGAGUCUGCAACUCGACUCCAUGAAGUCGGAAUCGCUAGUAAUCGUAGAUCAGAAUGCUACGGUGAAUACGUUCCCGGGCCUUGUACACACCGCCCGUCACACCAUGGGAGUGGGUUGCAAAAGAAGUAGGUAGCUUAACCUUCGGGAGGGCGCUUACCACUUUGUGAUUCAUGACUGGGGUGAAGUCGU
rnacentral:rRNA from 1 species